UGUUGUUUGUUGACUUAUUGAUGGCGGCCAUUCUGACAGCCUGAUCCUGGACCCACCCUGAGGAGACAUGGGCAGUGAGGAAUGGAAAUGAAAUGAGACCCAGCAACAGAAGGGUCAAUGCCUGGCCUAGUAGAGACCCUCCAGAAGUGUCCUUGAGCACUGGGCAAGCAUCUACUCUGAUUGGUUGUUGCCCAGACUAUAUGGCGGUGAAAUAUUUCAG